GGGAGUGUGGCCGAGUGGUCCAAGGCGCCCGCUUCAGGUUGUUUCGACGAUUGUGAAUGCUGGUCUCGCAAGAGGCGUGAGUUCGAACCUCACCGCUCUCA